CGAACGUUAGCGGCGCGCUUAACACAUGCAAGUCGCACGAGAAAGAGUGCCUUCGGGUACUCCGGUAAAGUGGCGCACGGGUGAGUAACACGUAGGUAACCUACCCCUGGGUGGGGGAUAACCUUCCGAAAGGAGGGCUAAUACCGCGUAAGACCACGUUCUGAAAUGGAUGAGGUCAAAGCGGGCCUCUGCAUGCAAGCUCGCGCCUGGGGAUGGGCCUGCGGCCCAUCAGCUUGUUGGUGAGGUAACGGCUCACCAAGGCUAAGACGGGUAGCUGGUCUGAGAGGAUGAUCAGCCACACUGGAACUGAGACACGGUCCAGACUCCUACGGGAGGCAGCAGUGGGGAAUCUUGCGCAAUGGGCGAAAGCCUGACGCAGCGACGCCGCGUGAGUGAUGAAGGCCCUAGGGUUGUAAAGCUCUGUGGAGAGGGACGAAUAAGCAUUGGUUAAUAGCCAAUGUGAUGACGGUACCUCUUUAGCAAGCACCGGCUAACUCUGUGCCAGCAGCCGCGGUAAGACAGAGGGUGCAAACGUUGUUCGGAAUUACUGGGCGUAAAGCGCGUGUAGGCUGCAACGUAUGUCGGGUGUGAAAUCCCGGGGCUCAACCCCGGAAGUGCACUCGAAACUGCGUAGCUAGAG
rnacentral:rRNA from 1 species